rnacentral:rRNA from 1 species
ACGAACGCUGGCGGCGUGCUUAACACAUGCAAGUCGAACGGUGAAGCGAGUGCUUGCACUCGUGGAUCAGUGGCGAACGGGUGAGUAACACGUGAGUAACCUGCCCAUCACUCUGGGAUAAGCACUGGAAACGGUGUCUAAUACUGGAUACGACCAACCCUUGCAUGGGGUGUUGGUGGAAGGAUUUAUCGGUGAUGGAUGGACUCGCGGCCUAUCAGCUUGUUGGCGGGGUAAUGGCCCACCAAGGCGACGACGGGUAGCCGGCCUGAGAGGGUGACCGGCCACACUGGGACUGAGACACGGCCCAGACUCCUACGGGAGGCAGCAGUGGGGAAUAUUGCACAAUGGGCGAAAGCCUGAUGCAGCGACGCCGCGUGAGGGAUGACGGCCUUCGGGUUGUAAACCUCUUUCAGCAGGGAAGAAGCGAAAGUGACGGUACCUGCAGAAGAAGCACCGGCUAACUACGUG